GACGAACGCUGGCGGCGUGCCUAAUACAUGCAAGUCGAGCGCAGGAAGCUGACGGAACUCUUCGGAGAGAAGGCAGUGGAAUGAGCGGCGGACGGGUGAGUAACACGUAAGGAACCUGCCUCAAGGAUUGGGAUAACUCCGAGAAAUCGGAGCUAAUACCGGAUAGUUCAACGGACCGCAUGGUCCGCUGAUGAAAGGCGCCUCGGCCGCCCCUUGGGAUAGCCUUGCGGUGCAUUAGCUAGUUGGGGGGGUAACGGCCCACCAAGGCGACGAUGCAUAGCCGACCUGAGAGGGUGAUCGGCCACACUGGGACUGAGACACGGCCCAGACUCCUACGGGAGGCAGCAGUAGGGAAUCUUCCACAAUGGACGAAAGUCUGAUGGAGCAACGCCGCGUGAGUGAUGAAGGUUUUCGGAUCGUAAAACUCUGUUGUAAGGGAAGAACACGUACGAGAGGGAAUGCUCGUACCUUGACGGUACCUUACGAGAAAGCCACGGCUAACUACGUGCCAGCCGCCGCCGUAA
rnacentral:rRNA from 1 species